CCUGAAUUCAGCGGCGGACGGGUGAGUAAUGCCUAGGAAUCUGCCUGGUAGUGGGGGACAACGUUUCGAAAGGAACGCUAAUACCGCAUACGUCUUACGGGAGAAAGCAGGGGACCUUCGGGCCUUGCGCUAUCAGAUGAGCCUAGGUCGGAUUAGCUAGUUGGUGAGGUAAUGGCUCACCAAGGCGACGAUCCGUAACUGGUCUGAGAGGAUGAUCAGUCACACUGGAACUGAGACACGGUCCAGACUCCUACGGGAGGCAGCAGUGGGGAAUAUUGGACAAUGGGCGAAAGCCUGAUCCAGCCAUGCCGCGUGUGUGACAGAAGGUCUUCGGAUUGUAAAGCACUUUAAGUUGGGAGGAAGGGCAUUAACCUAAUACGUUAGUGUUUUGACGUUACCGACAGAAUAAG
rnacentral:rRNA from 1 species